AAAACAUUGUUCUUAGGUCCAGAGAUACCUAAAGGGGAGGAGUGGCUCUUGAGAAGCAAGGUGGGAACAAUAAAAAAUCUAGAGAUGAUUCCUAUACUGCAGGAUGCAUUCCUAUUGGAGGGUCACAACACAAUACAGGUUAGAUAUAUGGGAGAUGACCAGGUGCUGAUCACGGGACCAGCAGGAAUAACACUUGAGGAAACCCUACUUAAGGUGUGGAGGAAUGGCUAAAGGAGUAUGUAGAAGACAUUAAACCUUGGAGUCCCUCGGUUGCUCCGGUGAGUAGAAUCACCUGGGUCCGCUGAAUAUGUGGACGAUGGAAUGCUUCAGACACAUUUUGCUUCAAGUCGGUAACGUUGUGAGAAUAGAUGAGAAGACAAGUACGUUUGAGAAUUUGGACCAUGCCAGGGUUCAGGGUUGAUCUUAAUCCUGAUGUUGAUCUUGACAACGGAGUGGGGAAUGAAGGAGCACCCAACCAAGAAUCUUCAGCCAAAGGUUCAACUACGGAUACUGUUUGAAACACCCAAGGAGAAGCGGUGGUGGCUAGAGGACCUGUCAUGCGUCAUGCUGUUGAGUCGUGAUGGAGGCACCCCUAGACUUCAGAGGAUUGGAACGCAGGAGUCUGGAGAGGCGGGUUUCGUGGUGGGCUCGCUAGCAAAGAUGAAUGCAGCGGAAAGGCGACAACUUAGAGCUGCUAUGCGGAAUGUUGAAUCAGGACUCAAGAAUUGUAAUAGAUCCUUCUGGUUGAGGAAUGUUGAAUCAGAAGCAAGGAACUUAUGGUCAGCAGGAAGAGAGCUUGGGGUUACAGCCCUAUGGAGCGAAGCAGAAAUCAUUAGUAGACUAAUUACAAUGGAGCACAGGGAUGCAGAGGAGGUACAGGUUCAAGCGGAAACAGGGAGGAAGAUAUGUCAUCAUCAAUAUAGUCUCUUAUAAGCUCAGUAAUUGUGAAUGUUUAUUCCUCUGGUCAUAUAGAGGAAAAAAGAAGAAUGUGGGCGAACUGCUAGAUUGGAGAAGAAGGAACAAUCUUACAGUUUGGUGUGUUGGGGGAGACUCCAAUUCAGUAACGGGAGAAGACGAAAGAAGGGGGUGGCGAUGGGUGCAGGUUCACAGAGAAGGGAAAUUUCUGAGUUCAAUAAUUUCAUUGGAGACAUGGAGCUGCUAGACCUACCACUUGCAGGAAGGAAGUUUACAUGGUAUAGGCCAAACGGUCGUGCUCAAAGUCGCAUUGACAGGUUCCUUGUUUCUCCGGAUUGGCUUGCAUUCUGGCCUAAUUGUUCACUACUGGGACUCAAUAGAUACAUAUCAGAUCCUUGUCCCUUGUUAUUGAGGAGCAAGGUGAUUGAUUGGGGGCCUAAACCCUUUUGUGUGAUGAAUUGCUGGCUCAAUGACCCAAGGUUUGGGGGAUUUGUGGAGGAGGCUUGGGGUGAGAAUCAGCUUUCGGGGUGGGGGGCGUAUGUGCUUAAGGAGAAAUUGAAAUGUCUGAAAGGGAAGCUAAAAGUAUGGAAUAAAGAAGUUUUUGAAGACUUGAGGAGCAGGAGGAAUGAGGUUGUGCAAAAACUAAAUGAGUUGGACCGCAAGGAAGAGGAGGAGGGGUUGUUUGAGGAGGAAAAUAAUGAGAGAAAGUGGUUGCUGGAUGAGUUUUGGACAAUGCUAAGACUCCAUGAAUAACUUCUAUACCAGAAAUCCAGGUCUAAGUGGCUCAAAGAAGGGGAUCAGAAUACAAAGUAUUUCCAUUCCCUUAUUAAUUGGAGGAGGCGUACAAAUUCAAUUAUGGGGCUGAUGAUUGAUGGUAACUGGGUGGAGGAUCCACAAGCAAUUAAAACAGAGGUAAAAAAUUAUUUUGAGCAGUGCUUCACAAAUUCUCUUGGGACUCUAGUGCGAUUGGACGGGAUUUCAUUUAAAUCAAUUUCAGAUGCCGAUAAUGAAUUGCUAACAGGGCGGUUUGGGAUGGAAGAAGUAAAGGGAGCUGUGUGGGAGUGUGGAGGAGACAAAAGCCCAGGACCAGAUGAAUUUAAUUUCAAAUUCAUUCAGAAGUUUUGGGACCUGCUGAAGGAUGAUUUCCAUAGAGUGCUUGAGGACUUUUGGAAUAGGGGGUGUGGCCUAAAGGAUGUUACAGUUCGCUGAUGAUACCAUCUUUAUUGGUAGGGCAACUGGACAAAAUGUACAAUACUAAAGUGUGUACUGCGUUGCUUUGAGAUGGCUUCGGGUCUCAAAGUAAAUUUCCACAAAAGUAAUCUCACAGGUAUAGCGGUGGAUAGGGGGAGUAUGCGAAGAUUUGCUGCUGUAUUACAUUGUAAAUUAAUGGAGGUUCCUUUUACAUAUUUGGGCAUCCCUGAUGGUGGAAGAACGAACUCAGUGGCGAUGUGGGAGCUGAUUAUCAAUAAAUUAAGAGGAACUUUGUAGAGGAAAUAAAGAAAAUCGAAGCAAACAAGUGAUUCCACAUAUGGGUGGUUCUAAAGCUACCACAACUGAUUGGGUUAAGGUUGGGGGUCUCGGCGAUGUUGUUACCAGUCAAUCCCGAGCUGUUUAGGAUUUAAAUCACAAAGUGCACAUUGUUCUUCCAAAGUAUGACUGUUUGAGUUUUAGCCAUGUAAGAUUAUUUCUUCUGCUUUGGCAUUUACUUUACAUCUUAAGCUCUGCAAUGGACAUUUGAAUUUUAAUAUUCUCUAUAUUAUGAGUUUUCUGGCGUGUCCUAUUGGAAGAGCAUGAUCUCAUGGUCAAUCAUGAGGAUUUUAUAGCUUGAGUUUCAAUGUGAAGCUGGUGCAUAAUCAAAGGGAGAAAAUAAAUAUCAUGAAGUUGAUUGGGACUACAUUCAUGGAAGUAUGUGCUGUUGUUGAGCAUGUUUCUUAAUAUCUGGCUGCUGAACAUCUGCAUUGGUGGCUUUCUUAGAAGUUAAAAAUGGCUACUGUGGUGCUGCAGUUUUUACUAAAUGCCAAAAAAAAA